rnacentral:rRNA from 1 species
ACGCUGGCGGCGCGCCUAACACAUGCAAGUCGAACGAGAGAUGAAGAGCUUGCUCUUCAAAUCGAGUGGCGAACGGGUGAGUAACGCGUGAGGAACCUGCCUCAAAGAGGGGGACAACAGUUGGAAACGACUGCUAAUACCGCAUAAGCCCACGGCUCGGCAUCGAGCAGAGGGAAAAGGAGCAAUCCGCUUUGAGAUGGCCUCGCGUCCGAUUAGCUAGUUGGUGAGGUAACGGCCCACCAAGGCGACGAUCGGUAGCCGGACUGAGAGGUUGAACGGCCACAUUGGGACUGAGACACGGCCCAGACUCCUACGGGAGGCAGCAGUGGGAAUAUUGCACAAUGGGGGAACCCUGAUGCAGCGACGCCGCGUGGAGGAAGAAGGUCUUCGGAUUGUAAACUCCUGUUGUUGAGGAAGAUAAUGACGGUACUCAACAAGGAAGUGACGGCUAACUACGUG